rnacentral:lncRNA from 1 species
AUAAAGAAAUCAAUUUAUGUUGCAUCAAAUCCAAAAUGUAUUUAACCCCAUUUGAGAUCCUUCAUCUUUUUUUACUUUUCUCGUAUAGUUAACCCAAAUUGAAAUCCUUGGUUUUUUUGUAUCGUCACACUAAUAUAGGAGGUUUUCUGAGCACUGUGCCUUCAACAGUGCAUAAUUUUCGCUCAUAGCUUAGAAAAAGCCGUAUUUGUAACAUGCGGAAAAUUCAUUCGAAGCUCCACAAUAUUCACAUCCAUCUGCACUAGUUGCGAAAUCACUUUGUCAAAAGGCCUCUAGAGGCCCGAAAAAAUCCCCAUGAAAUUAGGGGUAAUUUCAUCAUUUUGAGUAGUUUGGACUAGAUUGUCUUUUCUUGCUUUCUUCCUUUUUAUUUAUAGUUGUAAUUUAAAGUUAGAAAUAUAUGGCCCAGAUUGUGCUUUAGGGAGGGUUAAGGAUUAAAAUAGGUUGUGAUUAACGGGUGAGGUUCGUUCUUAAGUUCUAUACUUAGGGUCUCUAGGUCUAUCCAAAGGUGUGGCUACAGAGCUUGGCUUGU